rnacentral:rRNA from 1 species
GACAGAGGGGGCAAGCGUUGCUCGGAAUUACUGGGCGUAAAGGGCGCGUAGGCGGGAUGGCAAGUCGGUCGUGAAAUCCCUCGGCUCAACCGAGGAACGUCGAUCGAUACUGCUGUUCUUGAGGAUUGCAGAGGAGACUGGAAUUCCCGGUGUAGCGGUGAAAUGCGUAGAGAUGUGGAGGAACACCGAUGGCGAAGGCAGCCCCCUGGGCUAACACUGACGCUCAUGCACGAAAGCGUGGGGAGCAAACAGG